CAGGCUUAACACAUGCAAGUCGAGGGGCAGCACGGUCUUAGCUUGCUAAGACUGAUGGCGACCGGCGCACGGGUGAGUAACACGUAUCCAACCUGCCGUCUACUCUUGGACAGCCUUCUGAAAGGAAGAUUAAUACAAGAUGGCAUCAUGAGUCCGCAUGUUCACAUGAUUAAAGGUAUUCCGGUAGACGAUGGGGAUGCGUUCCAUUAGAUAGUAGGCGGGGUAACGGCCCACCUAGUCUUCGAUGGAUAGGGGUUCUGAGAGGAAGGUCCCCCACAUUGGAACUGAGACACGGUCCAAACUCCUACGGGAGGCAGCAGUGAGGAAUAUUGGUCAAUGGGCGAGAGCCUGAACCAGCCAAGUAGCGUGAAGGAUGACUGCCCUAUGGGUUGUAAACUUCUUUUAUAAAGGAAUAAAGUCGGGUAUGCAUACCCGUUUGCAUGUACUUUAUGAAUAAGGAUCGGCUAACUCCGUGCCAGCAGCCGCGGUAAUACGGAGGAUCCGAGCGUUAUCCGGAUUUAUUGGGUUUAAAGGGAGCGUAGAUGGAUGUUUAAGUCAGUUGUGAAAGUUUGCGGCUCAACCGUAAAAUUGCAGUUGAUACUGGAUAUCUUGAGUGCAGUUGAGGCAGGCGGAAUUCGUGGUGUAGCGGUGAAAUGCUUAGAUAUCACGAAGAACUCCGAUUGCGAAGGCAGCCUGCUAAGCUGCAACUGACAUUGAGGCUCGAAAGUGUGGGUAUCAAACAGGAUUAGAUACCCUGGUAGUCCACACGGUAAACGAUGAAUACUCGCUGUUUGCGAUAUACUGCAAGCGGCCAAGCGAAAGCGUUAAGUAUUCCACCUGGGGAGUACGCCGGCAACGGUGAAACUCAAAGGAAUUGACGGGGGCCCGCACAAGCGGAGGAACAUGUGGUUUAAUUCGAUGAUACGCGAGGAACCUUACCCGGGCUUAAAUUGCAGAUGAAUUACGGUGAAAGCCGUAAGCCGCAAGGCAUCUGUGAAGGUGCUGCAUGGUUGUCGUCAGCUCGUGCCGUGAGGUGUCGGCUUAAGUGCCAUAACGAGCGCAACCCUUGUUGUCAGUUACUAACAGGUUCCGCUGAGGACUCUGACAAGACUGCCAUCGUAAGAUGUGAGGAAGGUGGGGAUGACGUCAAAUCAGCACGGCCCUUACGUCCGGGGCUACACACGUGUUACAAUGGGGGGUACAGAGGGCCGCUACCACGCGAGUGGAUGCCAAUCCCCAAAACCUCUCUCAGUUCGGACUGGAGUCUGCAACCCGACUCCACGAAGCUGGAUUCGCUAGUAAUCGCGCAUCAGCCACGGCGCGGUGAAUACGUUCCCGGGCCUUGUACACACCGCCCGUCAAGCCAUGGGAGCCGGGGGUACCUGAAGUGCGUAACCGCGAGGAGCGCCCUAGGGUAAAACUGGUGAC
rnacentral:rRNA from 1 species